GCGAGCGCUGGGAGCCUGGACCCAGCGAGCGAUGAAAAGGCGUGGUGCGGUUCGCUUUCCCUGGGUGAUUGUGUUGGUGUGACUGAGGCCCUGGAGGUGCCCACUUCCAGCUUUCCACUAAUUACCGCACUGUCUUUUCGCUUCCUGCCCCGCUGACGCGUACACCUAUUUCAGACUCAGCGCAGCUUCGCGGGAAGAAAGUGCGGGCCUCCCUCUCGGCUCCACACCAGACUCCGGAGUGGUUCGACCUGCGCUGGGGUAGCCAAGACGCGCGCUGCCCUUCUCCCGGCACUGCCCUUCCCAGCGUCUUUGACCACUCUUAAUACCCACAAACUUGGUUGGACAACUUCUGAUGUGUCCAGCCAUGUGUCACGUACUGGGAAUACAAAAUGGAAUGAGGCAAGCUCUCUGACCUCAAAGAUUUCAGAGUUCAGUUAGAGAAAUCGACAGAAUCUAGUACUUUUAAAACUCAACAUGAUGAAUGAAUGUGGUGAGAACAGCGGCAGAAAAUGGCACUGAAUUCCACAGAAAUAUCUGGAAAGGGCAUUUGAAAAGGGGAGAAAAGGUGCACAGUUUAACCAGCUUUCGGGGCAAGGGAGUGAGGGGCGCUGAAGCUCCUUGAAGUUGAAACCCAGGAUAGAAUGAGUAAGAAUGAGCCAGUCAGUGUGCUUGUUUGAGUGGGUUGGUGGCAGGGGGGGCAGUUACGAGGGAUAAUAAAGACAAAAGCAUGAAACAGAACUGGUUGUGUGCGUGUUUGUAUUGAACGAGAGAAGGAACUCAAGAGUAGAAACACUAAACCUGUUUCAAGAAGAGCCAUGCAAGGAUUUCUACCACAGCAGCACGACUGCAAGCUUUGUGUUUAAAAAACAUUCAAUCUGCCAGCACAGCACCAUCGUCGCUUUCUGGGGGCACUCGGGCUUUACUAACAGAAUUUUGAGGGCGUCAAAGCUAGACGCUGAAAACUGAGGAUUAUUAGGAAGAUGCUGCAGUCGUAACGAUUAGAAUGGUGAGGGCCUGUCGGCAAUAAAAAGCAGGAAUGGCACAGAAGAAAAAAGCGGUGAGGCAAACUGUGGCAUCCCAGUCCUCCUAGAGAAGAACAGGAAGAGGAAGAAGAUGUCAGAAGCACGAUGACACAGGAGGAACAGAGGCAAGGAGAAAGUUGUGUGAAGUGUGAUGCCUGGAGUUACGACAGCCAUCUUGCAACCAUGAGAAGAUAAGACUGUGGAUGAAAACCAACAUACCAAGAAUGGUUGUGUUAAAAGAUGAAAAGAGCUUGGGUCUUGAAUAUCAUCACUGAACACUUCACCAGUUCUCAAACAACCCUGUCUCUGAACUCUUGUCAUGUGAGAUUACUAAUGUCCUCAUUAUUUAAGCUACAUUAAUAGUUGGAUUUCUUGUCACAUGUAGCUGAAAAUAUCCUAAUACAUCAACAAAUAAAUGAGUAAAUAAUAAUAUAAAAUUUUUAAUUAAAGAGAAAAAAUUGAGCUCUAUACAUAUUGUAUGCAUGUAUCAAAAUAUCACUUGUACCCUAUAAAUACGUUCAGCUAUUGUGGAUCCAUUUUUUAAAUAUACAAAUUUGAACUCU
rnacentral:lncRNA from 1 species